rnacentral:rRNA from 1 species
CAGCCGCCGCGGGAAUACGGAGGGUGCGAGCGUUAAUCGGAAUAACUGGGCGUAAAGGGCACGCAGGCGGUGACUUAAGUGAGGUGUGAAAGCCCCGGGCUUAACCUGGGAAUUGCAUUUCAUACUGGGUCGCUAGGGUACUUUAGGGAGGGGUAGAAUUCCACGUGUAGCGGUGAAAUGCGUAGAGAUGUGGAGGAAUACCGAAGGCGAAGGCAGCCCCUUGGGAAUGUACUGACGCUCAUGUGCGAAAGCGUGGGGAGCAAACAGGAUUAGAUACCCCUGUAGUCCCUGUCUCUUAUAC